rnacentral:rRNA from 1 species
UACGUAGGGUGCGAGCGUUGCCCGGAUUUAUUGGGCGUAAAGGGCGCGUGGGCGGUCACGCACGUCCGUUGUGAAAUCGCUCGGCUCAACUGGGCGGGGUCAGCGGAUACGGCGUGGCUGGAGCAAGCUAGGGGGCAAUGGAAUUCCCGGUGUAGUGGUGGAAUGCGUAGAUAUCGGGAGGAACACCAGUGGCGAAGGCGGUUGCCUGGAGCUUUGCUGACGCUGAUGCGCGAAAGCGUGGGGAGCGAUCCGG